rnacentral:rRNA from 1 species
GAGGAAUAUUGGUCAAUGGACGGAAGUCUGAACCAGCCAAGUAGCGUGCAGGAUGACGGCCCUAUGGGUUGUAAACUGCUUUUGUAUGGGGAUAAAGUUAGGGACGUGUCCCUAUUUGCAGGUACCAUACGAAUAAGGACCGGCUAAUUCCGUGCCAGCAGCCGCGGUAAUACGGAAGGUCCAGGCGUUAUCCGGAUUUAUUGGGUUUAAAGGGAGCGUAGGCUGGAGAUUAAGUGUGUUGUGAAGUGUAGACGCUCAACGUCUGAAUUGCAGCGCAUACUGGUUUCCUUGAGUACGCACAACGUUGGCGGAAUUCGUCGUGUAGCGGUGAAAUGCUUAGAUAUGACGAAGAACUCCGAUUGCGAAGGCAGCUGACGGGAGCGCAACUGACGCUUAAGCUCGAAGGUGCGGGUAUCAAACAGGAUUAGAUACCCUGGUAGUCCGCACAGUAAACGAUGGAUGCCCGUUGUUGGUACUUGGUAUCAGCGGCUAAGCGAAAGCAUUAAGCAUCCCACCUGGGGAGUACGCCGGCAACGGUG